rnacentral:rRNA from 1 species
CCUACGGGCGGCAGCAGUAGGGAAUCUUCCACAAUGGGCGAAAGCCUGAUGGAGCAACGCCGCGUGGGUGAAGAAGGUCUUCGGAUCGUAAAACCCUGUUGUUAGAGAAGAAAGUGCGUGAGAGUAACUGUUCACGUUUCGACGGUAUCUAACCAGAAACCCACGGCUAACUACGUGCCCGCAGCCGCGGUAAUACGUAGGUGGCAAGCGUUAUCCGGAUUUGUUGGGCGUAACGGGAACGCAGGCGGUCUUUUAAGUCUGAUGUGAAAGCCUUCGGCUUAACCGGAGUAGUGCAUUGGAAACUGGGAGACUUGAGUGCAGAAGAGGCGAGUGGAACUCCAUGUGUAGCGGUGAAAUGCGUAGAUAUAUGGAAGAACACCAGUGGCGAAAGCGGCUCUCUGGUCUGUAACUGACGCUGAGGUUCGAAAGCGUGGGUAGCAAACAGGAUUAGAUACCCCUGUAGUC